rnacentral:rRNA from 1 species
UGAGUAAUGUCUGGGAAACUGCCCGAUGGAGGGGGAUAACUACUGGAAACGGUAGCUAAUACCGCAUAACGUCGCAAGACCAAAGUGGGGGACCUUCGGGCCCCACACCAUCGGAUGUGCCCAGAUGGGAUAACUUAGUAUGUGGGGUAAUGGCUCACCUAGGCGACAAUCCCUAGCUGGUCUGAGAGGAUGACCAGCCACACUGGAACUGAGACACGGUCCAGACUCCUACGGGAGGCAGCAGUGGGGAAUAUUGCACAAUGGGCGCAAGCCUGAUGCAGCCAUGCCGCGUGUAUGAAGAAGGCCUUCGGGUUGUAAAGUACUUUCAGCGGGGAGGAAGGCGGUGAAGUUAAUAGCUUCACCGAUUGACGUUACCCGCAGAAGAAGCACCGGCUAACUCCGUGCCAGCAGCCGCGGUAAUACGGAGGGUGCAAGCGUUAAUCGGAAUUACUGGGCGUAAAGCGCACGCAGGCGGUCUGUCAAGUCGGAUGUGAAAUCCCCGGG